UGGCAAUGCCUUAGAGGGAAGGAAGAGUGGGGUUUGCUAGUUAACUUUAUUUCCUGAAGAUCUUUGGCUGAUAAUAGUGAUCCUGUAAUAGUGAUUUCUGUAGCAUUUGAACAUUUCCAAAGUACCCACUUCUGAACAGCUUUGGGAGAUAGGGACUACAAGUAUAAUUAUUUUACAGGGUUUUCCUACUCCAGAAUAAGAAGGCAGGCAAGGUCACAGAUUUUAUAUCAAUAUUCUACUCAGCCUCAAAUAGGAAUCACAUUAUACCUUGUGUCCAGCCUCCCUCUAUGCCCAUUAAUAAAUGAUAGCUUUCCCCUUCGAUCAACAUCAGGGAGUCGACAUUCAGGACUUCUGUUUCUUGUGAUUCAGGCAGCACAUCACUUGCCACAUGGAUGGAAGAGAAGUCUAAACCUAAAAAGACUUACACUUAGGAACUGGACUUUGUUGGAAUGGCUUUUGAACUAUUGAAACAAACUCUUCCCAGACGAUUUCACUGGAUGAUCAUCUUCAAUAAAUCCAUAAUUAAAACUCUAAUAAAAUAUUAG
rnacentral:lncRNA from 1 species